UAAUAAUAAUUGAAAAUAACAGUGUGUAGGGCACCUCUAUUAGUGAGAGUUUUAACUACUGAAAAAAAAUUAUAUUAAAAAAAGAAACUAAACUUCAUGAAGUGCCUCUGGCGGCGAUUUGAGUAAACGUUCUGAAACACGUGUUUUUUGUUAUUGUGGUGGAAUGUCACGUGGAACAAUUGUUAAGCGAGAAAUGUUCGAGUUUGGCGUAGAUAUUGCGUUAUUACAGGGUGCUCUUAUCUCGUCCUUACGUAAUGUGAACUCACAACAGGAAGCAGAUGAUGAGGUGAAAGAAGAGAGUGUCCCUUUAAACAAGGACGAAUGCAUACAAGUUGCUGGUGCUGUUUUUAAUUCCUGUCUGGAGUUAAUCGAUGAAUUAAAGAGCCAAACUCUUAAUUUGGAGGAGGAAAACUGCAAGAGAAGAAUGCAUGCUGCCAUUCUAUACACAGUAAUGAAGAAAGAUAAAUUGAAAGGGCAGAAUGACUACUUCGAAUCUCUUACCAAUGUCUUUCCCGAUUUCCAUUGGAAUCUCUAUUUUGAACUCGUAAAGGCUUUCCAAUGGGAGGAAUUUCACGUGGAGUGUAUAGCUUCUCUUCCGCUCAACGUCGCACAUGACAUUGUUCAACUGAGUAUUGAAUACAGUAAUGAACAACCUGCUGAUAACGAUGGACGCUUACUUCUAUGUUGCAUUGGAAUAAUUUUACAUCUGUGCUGUCAGAUUGAUUGUGAAGAAGAAACAGAGAGCAUUAUUGAUCCAAUACUCAAAAAUAUUACAUCCAAGAUAGAAUUAAUGCAGCUUGAAGUGACUAAUGGAAGUAACAAUAGUAAUCAGUGUUUAGGGUUUUCUUUAACGAUAUUAUCAUUGAUAUGUAAACAUAUCUGGGAAAUGAAAUACGAAGAUUCAGUUCUAGACUUGAAUAAUUUAGAUGAUCGAUGCAUUCCGCUUGAAGUUCUAGACGAUGCUGGUUUGUCCAAGAAGUUCGAGAAUAUAACUCUGCGGCUAUUGAAGUGUGUAACUGGACUUAUAAAUGUAACUUAUAACAUUAUAAUGUGUGAAGGAGGAAAAUCGAUGAUUUUAAAUUGUUUGAAAGAAAAUACAUUAGUACUUAUGCAAGAAGUGUCAUCGUUUCGUUCUGUUGAAAUUCCAUUUAGAACUUUUGCCUUCUGCAUAUGUCAGAACAUCAAGGAGUUCUUAACUAAUGAUUUUAUUUGGCAGGAUCCAAGUUUAGAAACAACCUUCUUGUCAAUAAAAGAUAUCUCAGAUUUUUUGAUUGAUGCCUUUUCCUUUAAUUUUUCUUCGGCUUGGAUGUUGCAUGGGACUUUGAGCUGGACGAAUGAUAUUUUGCUUUAUGAAUAUACUGAAAUUAUGGAUCAAAUCUGGGGUAAAAAGAACAAAAUUGCUGAAGACAGCAUAGUGGAAUUCCUCGAAAGACGGGAGUAUCUGUUGUCUGAACCAAAAUAUCUAAGUUUAUUAAUGAAUAAUGUCAUUUGUAAUGAAGUCACCCAGACAGAGCGAAUGAUUAAGAUCAUCUUAAAUGCAUUUGCAAAUUUGCCAUCGUCUUGUCAACAGCAAGAAGUUUUGAAAAAUAUUCUAAAUUCAUAUGGGAUUCCAAGUGUGUUUAAAGCUAAUGAUUUUGAGGUGGAGCUCACCCACUUUCUAAAUCAGAUUGUUAGUUAUCAGGCAGCCGAGAACAUGCCAAAUCGGAUCUAUGUGUAUUGUCUGCAAUCUCCCGCAGACGUCAUUACCAGUAUGAUUUUGCAAGCCAUCAACAAUAACAAACAGAUUGGCAUUAUAUCGCAGAUGUUUCAAGAUAUAUCGUUCUUGUGUCGAUUCAAAGAAUCAACCAAUUCUCCAGCAUUGUUUGUGAAAUGUUUUUGUAAUGUUACAAGCGAAGGAUUAUCUGAACAAGAACUGAAUAAUGCGAUCACUUUAAUACGAAUAUUAACACAGAAAAAUGAUAAGGAUGAGUUGAUUGUAUUACCUGACGACCUUCUUCUAUGGUACAUUUUACCAAAUUUGAAGACAUCUGGGCCACUCGAAAGAUUAGAUUUUGGUCUUGGUCUUCUACAGGUUAUUGCAGAAAGAAUCUUUUUAGAAAACAAAGAUAAAGUGAACAGAGUAGCAUUAAUAUUCUGUCUGUAUCGACUGCUACAGUAUUUCAGUCUGAAGAGAGAUGCCGGAAGAAGACAAACUAUACUCAUUGUCCUCACUUCUCUUACUCCUGGUUUACUGCAAAACCAUAGUGUUUCUGAUGUACCUAUUAGAAAGUUAUUUGACUAUUUAAAAUCAAUCAAUUCCAUCUGGUAUCUUCAUCUUCUUUCAAAAUUUGAAAACAGGGAAAUUGAGAGGGACGAUCUGAUUGCUACUUACAGAAGAGAUUUCGCAUGUAUAUCUUUUAAGUGGCAGUAAUUUUGGGAUGCGGGAGGAAACCGUUUCUGAGUUAAUCGAAGAAAGCUCGAGAGGUCUUACCUGUGAUAUUUCUUACUCAUAUUUAGUUAUAUCAUUGAGUGAGGUAUUGCUCUGUUCUACAUUUGAAGAAUGGAAGUUCUUGUAUUCGGUUGUCUGUUCGUACUAUGACAGCGAUUGCAAUUUCUUCCCUCCAGAUUUAGUGUUGAGUGAUGAAGUGCUUA
rnacentral:misc_RNA from 1 species